CGAAGUCAAAUUAAUUUCGUUGGCCGAGUUCAUUGAUGUUGACACGUUGCAGAGAUUUGACAAGUUAUUCCAGAACUUCCAGUUCCCCGGGCAACAGGAACUCUGAAAAUUCAAUUGAAGAUACGGCGCGGCUGAAAGGGUAGUUUCGAAGGCGUUCUCCAAAGAUACUUCGUCCGACCUGUCCAUUUUAUCUAGAAUAAGCCAACAUUCGAGGCAAAAGGAAAAUUCAUAUUCUCGCUUGAAAAUCUGCUUUAACUCUAAGGAGAGCAUUACUAUUGAGCAAUUAUCGAACAUUUUCAUACAAAUGAUUAUACAGAAACGACGAAUGGUUUAAAAGCGACUUCUUCGUUCACUUUCGUAAUUUAGCAGCAACUGAACAACCCGAAAGAUUACUGUCAGAUCGAGCACUACUUCUGAACUGUCUUAGCACUAACUCGGAAAUGUCAAACAAGCAGACUGUUAAAGCACUCUGAUAGGCUGUUAGAAAUCGGGGUAGAUGUGUGGUUGGAGAACGGCCGAGUUGUG